rnacentral:rRNA from 1 species
CCUACGGGAGGCAGCAGUCGAGAAUCAUUCACAAUGGGGGAAACCCUGAUGGUGCGACGCCGCGUGGGGGAAUGAAGGUCUUCGGAUGGUAAACCCCUGUCAUGUGGGAGCAAAUUAAAAAGAUAGUACCACAAGAGGAAGAGAAGGCUAACUCUGUGCCAGCAGCCGCGGUAAUACAGAGGUCUCAAGCGUUGUUCGGAAUCACUGGGCGUAAAGCGUGCGUAGGCUGUUUCGUAAGUCGUGUGUGAAAGGCGCGGGCUCAACCCGCGGACGGCACAUGAUACUGCGAGACUAGAGUAAUGGAGGGGGAACCGGAAUUCUCGGUGUAGCAGUGAAAUGCGUAGAUAUCGAGAGGAACACUCGUGGCGAAGGCGGGUUCCUGGACAUUAACUGACGCUGAGGCACGAAGGCCAGGGGAGCGAAAGGGAUUAGAUACCCUUGUAGUC